GGUUGUGUAGUGUAGUGGUUAUCACUGUAAGUUCUCGGAGAAGCAACUCUGGCAUUCAUCACGUACUGACUCCCAUCGAGCCGGAUUUUGAUCGCUAGCCAUCAAAUGUCUUCCGGCAACCCCGGUUCGAGCCCGGGCACGACCU